AUUUUAUUUGCUUGUAUUUAAGCAUUUAAAUUUGGGUAGAGAACUGUGACGCUCUUCUUUUCAGUCUCUGAAAAGAGAGUGUUACAAUUAGUGGUAUCAGAGCUGGUCGAGUCUUUCGGGAGUCUUUGGGGAAUAGGUUCAUUAUGCUUUUGUUGUGUCAUCUAUGUUUGCUUUUGUUAUGUGAUCUUUGUUUGCUUUUGUGGUGUGAUCUUUGUUCGAACUUGUUGGAUUAAUUGUAGUUAAGAUAAAAGUGUUUUCAUUCUAAGUUUGUAUAAGGGGUAUAAGGAUGGUCUAAUCGUAAUGGAAAUUUUGUGAGUCAUUUCGGUGCAGAUGAUGACAACAUGGAUAUAUGUCGGAAUGAUUAGAACUCCUAAUGGUUAGUCAAUUUUCAUUUUCUAAGUAGACUAAGGAACUACAUUGAAAGAUUUAUAUACUUUAAAUUAUUGAGAAUAUAGUUGGUUGACUAGGAUAGAUAAAUAGAUAAUAAUGGGAUCUAAUGAUUUUUCUAUAUGCAUAACUAGUUCCUAGAGAAUGAGUAAUAAUAGAGAAUCAUAGAAAAAUCUUAGAAUGUUUAGGAAAACAGUAGUUUUAUAUGACUAAUAAUUAUGAUAAUGUUAUGAUAGACUUAGAAUAUAGUAAGGUCUUGCUUGUUUGAGAGUCUGAUGGAUUGAAAUUUUACUUCACUAAGAGAAUCAAUGGUCAUAUAUGUAGGUGAUUACGUAGUUCAAGAAUAAGUAACAUUGUGUUAGCUUAUGGCUAGUUGAAUAAUAUGUGAGCAUGGAAUUUAGUAGACUUUAGCGUGGAUGCCAAUUUUUAGAAAUGGUAUUACGAUAAGAAAAAAAAAAUCAUAGUAAAUCGUAAAGAAAUUUAAGUAAUAGUUUGUUAAGGUAAAAUUUUAGGGACACGAGAUUUUGCGUUGCUAGUCUUUGUUUUUGAUGGUAUAGGAUUCCUUAUGUUUUUUUUUUAGUUAUUAGGCUAACUGCCGCGUUGCUGCAUUUUGUGGUUAGGUAAGUACAAAUUGAUUGUUUUGGUUUCUAGUAUGGCGUAUUGGUUUUGCUAUGUUUUGUUUGUCAUACUAUACUUGCACAAUUUUUGUUUCUUGUUGUGUUUUCCCUAUUAUAGGCACUCAUUCUAGUUAUGUAAGAAUUAUUAUAAAUAAAAUUGUGUUGUUUCAAAAUUUUAAGAAAAUAAAUAAAUUAAGACUCAUAGUUAAGGUUAAUUAUGUUAAAAUUGAAAGAUCGUGUCUAUGGUCAAUUUUACUUUGGAGUAAGUUAUGCGAAACAAACUAGUUCUAUAGAAUGAACCAAUACAAGACUACUAGAGUAAAUUUUAGAAUUGAUGAAAUAUGAUUAUUUUGAUAAGUGAAAAUAAAAUAUAUUUAACGAUGAGUUUGAGNNNNNNNNNNNNNNNNNNNNNNNNNNNNNNNNNNNNNNNNNNNNNNNNNNNNNNNNNAGUUAUUAAGAAUAUGAUUGAAUACUUUUAGUUGGAAAAUAUAGCACACACUUGCUGCAAAUAUAAAUAGAUUAUCUUUCAAAAGAAAAAGUAUGAGUAGAUUCUAUUUUUUUAGAAAAGAAAAAGUAAGUAGAUUUAGGGUUAGUUGUAAGAACUAUAGUUGACAAAAGAAUUUCUAUUGGAUAGUAUGGUUAAGGGAAGAUAUCUAAGUAAGUAUGAAGACUUGAGCUUCAAGUAAUGAUAUAGUAAAUAAUAAGUUUUGAGGAGAGUGAAACAAUAUAAGUGGAGGUUUUAAUAUCGAAAUGAUGUUGUGGUUUAAGUUGAGUGGUUCACUGUGGAAUAGUGGAGAAGAUAUAGUAGGUAUAUAUUAAUCCUAUGAACUUCUUAGAAGAAGAAUCUUUAUUUUAGUUUUGGAUGAAACUUUAGUUUCUACCAAGAUAGAAUUAUAGUAUAAGCAUGACUAAUCUUUUGAUAUAAUUUUAAUGGUAUAGAAAGAGUUUGGGUGGUAUAUAGGAAAAACAUCUAAGCCUAUACAUAAAUUGUCCUACCUUCAGUUGGAUUUUUAUUAGUGGAAGGGAGAUUAGUUUUUCUGGAUUUAUCGAUUCUUAGAUUAUAUACCGAGUUUGGGAAGAAAAAAAAAAAAAGAAGUUGGAGAUUGAAAAAUAUUGAUCGGAUUAGGAAUUUUGAUUUAGAUAUUAGAAAUUUUCAAUACAUAGAAUUGUGAUUAAUUUUGCAAGUGUAGAAUGAACUUGUGUGGCAUCUAAGUUUGAAACUUUAGCUUUAUAUAACAGAGAUAAGAAAGUUGAAAGUAUAUUGAUUGGACUAGGAAAUUUUAUUUGUGGAUUACAAAUUCCUAAGACUUAGAAAUGUAGUUAGGAUCGAUGGCUAUGAAUACAUAUUUUUUGAGAUAAAUGUGAAC
rnacentral:lncRNA from 1 species